ACCAGAGGAUGAUCUAUCGGAUGAUGGCAAUGACGAGGAAGCCACUGUUGCAAACAAGAAAAGGAAGGUAUGUUGAGUUAAAUUUAUGGCUUCCUCGUCAUUGCCAUCAUCCGAUAGAUCAUCC
rnacentral:pre_miRNA from 1 species